AGAUGGUAGAAUGGAACAGUAGUAUGAAGGUGGAUAAAGAUGGUAGAAUGGAACAGUAGUAUGAAGGUGGAUAAAGAUGGUAGAAUGGAACAGUAGUGUGAAGGUGGAUAAAGAUGGUAGAAUGGAACAGUAGUGUGAAGGUGGAUAAAGAUGGUAGAAUGGAACAGUAUGAAGGUGGAUAAAGAUGGUAGAAUGGAACAGUAGUGUGAAGAAGGUGGAUAAAGAUGGUAGAAUGGAACAGUAGUGUGAAGGUGGAUAAAGAUGGUAGAAUGGAACAGUAGUGUGAAGAAGGUGGAUAAAGAUGGUAGAAUGGAACAGUAGUGUGAAGAAGGUGGAUAAAGAUGGUAGAAUGGAACAGUAGUGUGAAGGUGGAUAAAGAUGGUAGAAUGGAACAGUAGUGUGAAGGUGGAUAAAGAUGGUAGAAUGGAACAGUAGUGUGAAGAAGGUGGAUAAAGAUGGUAGAAUGGAACAGUAGUGUGAAGGUGGAUAAAGAUGGUAGAAUGGAACAGUAGUGUGAAGAAGGUGGAUAAAGAUGGUAGAAUGGAACAGUAGUGUGAAG
ensembl:lncRNA